ACCGAAGAAAAGAAAGUUAGAAAACAUGGAUGGGAAUAGUGAAUACGAAGAGAGAGAAUACACUUUCUCCAUCUCUCACAAUUGUCUCUCCGAUUAACGACCUCCGUCACUUCCGCCGUCGCCGCAUCUCAAAGUAAAGCCCUCCGCCACUGCAGUCGUCGUACCUCUUCGCAAACCUACCCUUUCUAAAAGCCAACACCAUAUGUUACUGCGACGACCCAAAUCUGCCCUUUCUCGUUCAUGUUUUCUAGAAGACAACAAAGACAUGAAGAUUUUGCUAGUGAUGAUAUUCAUAUUUUGAGCAAGACUUUGGUUGAUGUUACAUGUAAUGCUGCUACAUAUAUGAUAAUAUAUAUCAUAGUGGGGAGGGUUAGUAAGCCAAGCCCAACAUUGUAUUGAAUUGUAUUGUCAUCUGUGUUUUAGAUUUUGGGGCGUCUGGUUUUGUGCUCAUUGUAAGUGCUGCGGUUUUGGUUGGUGUCUGCCAUCAGUAGGGGGCGGUUGGUGCUAUUUGCUCCUGCUGUCAGUUGGUGUUAGCAGCUGCCAGCAGCUUGUGCAUGGGGCUGGUUUUGAUGCAGCUGUAUGCGUAGGGGGCCGGAUGUUCAUUUUUCGGCUGUUUUGGUUCAGUGAAUACCUUUGCAUCAUUCUCUAGUGUUAGGCGGCGGGGUUUUAUUUUGGUAGUCUCUAUAAGGAGUGUUGUUUCGGGGGUUUGUGUCGGGUGUUCCGCCUAUAUACGGCACCCUUGUUUGUAUUGGUUUGUUUCUUUUCGCUUGCGCGGUUGGUUUUUGGGAGGCUUGCACCCUUCCGUCGUCAAUAAAAUUAGCAUACCAAAUGUAAUGUUUGGAUUUUCGUGUAAUGAAUUGGCUUUGUACUGUUAUCAAAUCUACCAUAUUCAUAUUUUUCUUUUCAA